rnacentral:rRNA from 1 species
GGUUAAGCGACUAAGCGUACACGGUGGAUGCCCUGGCAGUCAGAGGCGAUGAAGGACGUGCUAAUCUGCGAAAAGCGCCGGCGAGGUGAUAUGAACCCUUGACCCGGCGAUGUCCGAAUGGGGAAACCCAGUGCAAUCCGUUGCACUAUCGUUAACUGAAUACAUAGGUUAACGAGGCGAACCGGGGGAACUGAAACAUCUAAGUACCCCGAGGAAAAGAAAUCAACCGAGAUUCCCCCAGUAGCGGCGAGCGAACGGGGAGCAGCCCGGAGUCUGAAUCAGCUUGUGUGUUAGUGGAACGGUCUGGAAAGUCCGACGGUACAGGGUGAUAGUCCCGUACACGAAAGCACACAUGCUGUGAACUCGAAGAGUAGGGCGGGACACGUGGUAUCCUGUCUGAAUAUGGGGGGACCAUCCUCCAAGGCUAAAUACUCCUGACUGACCGAUAGUGAACCAGUACCGUGAGGGAAAGGCGAAAAGAACCCCGGCGAGGGGAGUGAAAAAGAACCUGAAACCGUGUACGUACAAGCAGUGGGAGCCUACUUGUUAGGUGACUGCGUACCUUUUGUAUAAUGGGUCAGCGACUUAUAUUCUGUAGCAAGGUUAACCGUAUAGGGGAGCCGAAGGGAAACCGAGUCUUAACUGGGCGUUAAGUUGCAGGGUAUAGACCCGAAACCCGGUGAUCUAGCCAUGGGCAGGUUGAAGGUUGGGUAACACUAACUGGAGGACCGAACCGACUAAUGUUGAAAAAUUAGCGGAUGACCUGUGGCUGGGGGUGAAAGGCCAAUCAAACCGGGAGAUAGCUGGUUCUCCCCGAAAGCUAUUUAGGUAGCGCCUCGUGAACUCAUCUUCGGGGGUAGAGCACUGUUUCGGCUAGGGGGCCAUCCCGGCUUACCAACCCGAUGCAAACUACGAAUACCGAAGAAUGUUAUCACGGGAGACACACGGCGGGUGCUAACGUCCGUCGUGAAGAGGGAAACAACCCAGACCGCCAGCUAAGGUCCCAAAGUCAUGGUUAAGUGGGAAACGAUGUGGGAAGGCACAGACAGCCAGGAUGUUGGCUUAGAAGCAGCCAUCAUUUAAAGAAAGCGUAAUAGCUCACUGGUCGAGUCGGCCUGCGCGGAAGAUGUAACGGGGCUAAACCAUGCACCGAAGCUGCGGCAGCGACACUAUGUGUUGUUGGGUAGGGGAGCGUUCUGUAAGCCGUUGAAGGUGUGCUGUGAGGCAUGCUGGAGGUAUCAGAAGUGCGAAUGCUGACAUAAGUAACGAUAAAGCGGGUGAAAAGCCCGCUCGCCGGAAGACCAAGGGUUCCUGUCCAACGUUAAUCGGGGCAGGGUGAGUCGACCCCUAAGGCGAGGCCGAAAGGCGUAGUCGAUGGGAAACAGGUUAAUAUUCCUGUACUUGGUGUUACUGCGAAGGGGGGACGGAGAAGGCUAUGUCAGCCGGGCGACGGUUGUCCCGGUUUAAGCAUGUAGGCGGAGGUUCCAGGUAAAUCCGGUACCUUUUAACGCUGAGGUGUGAUGACGAGGCACUACGGUGCUGAAGUGAUAAAUGCCCUGCUUCCAGGAAAAGCCUCUAAGCAUCAGGUAACACGAAAUCGUACCCCAAACCGACACAGGUGGUCAGGUAGAGAAUACCAAGGCGCUUGAGAGAACUCGGGUGAAGGAACUAGGCAAAAUGGUGCCGUAACUUCGGGAGAAGGCACGCUGAUGUGUAGGUGAAGCCCCUGCGGGCGGAGCUGAAAUCAGUCGAAGAUACCAGCUGGCUGCAACUGUUUAUUAAAAACACAGCACUGUGCAAACACGAAAGUGGACGUAUACGGUGUGACGCCUGCCCGGUGCCGGAAGGUUAAUUGAUGGGGUUAGCUGUAAGGCGAAGCUCUUGAUCGAAGCCCCGGUAAACGGCGGCCGUAACUAUAACGGUCCUAAGGUAGCGAAAUUCCUUGUCGGGUAAGUUCCGACCUGCACGAAUGGCGUAAUGAUGGCCAGGCUGUCUCCACCCGAGACUCAGUGAAAUUGAACUCGCUGUGAAGAUGCAGUGUACCCGCGGCAAGACGGAAAGACCCCGUGAACCUUUACUAUAGCUUGACACUGAACACUGGUCCUUGAUGUGUAGGAUAGGUGGGAGGCUUUGAAGCGUGGACGCCAGUCUGCGUGGAGCCAACCUUGAAAUACCACCCUUUAAUGGCUGGUGUUCUAACGUAGACCCGUAAUCCGGGUUGCGGACAGUGUCUGGUGGGUAGUUUGACUGGGGCGGUCUCCUCCCAAAGAGUAACGGAGGAGCACGAAGGUUGGCUAAUCCUGGUCGGACAUCAGGAGGUUAGUGCAAUGGCAUAAGCCAGCUUGACUGCGAGCGUGACGGCGCGAGCAGGUGCGAAAGCAGGUCAUAGUGAUCCGGUGGUUCUGAAUGGAAGGGCCAUCGCUCAACGGAUAAAAGGUACUCCGGGGAUAACAGGCUGAUACCGCCCAAGAGUUCAUAUCGACGGCGGUGUUUGGCACCUCGAUGUCGGCUCAUCACAUCCUGGGGCUGAAGUAGGUCCCAAGGGUAUGGCUGUUCGCCAUUUAAAGUGGUACGCGAGCUGGGUUUAGAACGUCGUGAGACAGUUCGGUCCCUAUCUGCCGUGGGCGCUGGAGAAUUGAGGGGGGCUGCUCCUAGUACGAGAGGACCGGAGUGGACGCAUCACUGGUGUUCGGGUUGUCAUGCCAAUGGCACUGCCCGGUAGCUAAAUGCGGAAGAGAUAAGUGCUGAAAGCAUCUAAGCACGAAACUUGCCCCGAGAUGAGUUCUCCCUGAGACUUUAAGUCUCCUGAAGGAACGUUAAAGACGAUGACGUUGAUAGGUCGGGUGUGUAAGCGCAGCGAUGCGUUGAGCUAACCGAUACUAAUGAACCGUGAGGCUUAACCUU